UGCUGCUUCACCCAGAGGUCAGCUUACUGGUGACCUCUCCUUUAGUGGACCAAGUAGCUCUUCCCAGGUGGACCAAGUAUCCCAGGAGACCCGGUGUGACUACAGAGGUUUUCCUGGAUGGGAGGCAGUUGACAGCUUGGCAGAGUACCGCUUGAGCCUCAACAGAACAAUAACUGCGUUGUCAACAACAGAGGUAGAAAAUGUCUUGCAGCUGUAUUCUAACCUGCAUGCUAUGGACAAGCAGCCUGCUAAAUACACCUUAAAAAGCAAGAAGAGCACAUUACCAGGACCUUGGAGGACUUCCCGGAAAUGAAGUGGCUCUGCACCUGGUCAGCAAGCAGCUGAAAGAUUCUUCAUGACCCAUGGCCAGGCUGCCCAGAGACCUGACUCAAACAGAGUGUCUGAGUGCAUUUGCCUCAAGUUGUUCAAAGAAUACCAGCAAGCAAGAAACCGGCCAAAAGACAGCAAGGGGAAGGUUCUACCCGUCCUGCAGUCUAUUGUUCAGACGUACUGUCACAUCAAACAAUUACUUGAGGACUCCAGGCCCAUACAUGUGCUUGGCUACAUGAGCGGCAGAAGAGAACAGACAGGGACACUCUUCUCCAAGGUGUGAAUCUUCCUCCGAAGGUGUCCGUGGCUGACGCCUCCUUCCCAGAAGCGAGACAGUUCCCCUCCCUUCCUGUGGAACAUGGACAUACAAGCAUGGAGUUUAAAGAACCUGAAAAUAGAGAAGGCGAGGCACUGAUCCGUCAACGGGUUGGUGGUAAAGCUGGCUCCGCACAGCGAUAUCCUCCCUCAUACCAGCCAGGACUCUUUUCACAGGCCGCAGUUCCUCCCAGCUUCCUGUAUCCACAGACUGACCAGCCACCAUCAUCUGCUUGGUCCUACUGUGAGCAGAACCAGAUGCCACAAGCGCCAUCCGCUUCUUUGGGUUUCUGCUUCGGUCCACCAGCUCCAGUUUUGACCUCAUUUGGACAAGGACAGUUCCCACCCCUGCCAUCUUCUCUGGUUCAAAUGUAUCGGUACUAUACACCACCACUUCACUCAUCCAUCCCAGCAGCUGCUGCUGGUUCAGCAUCAUCAUCACCAUCAGAUCAGGCUCCAGCCAACAUGAAUCGCUCCAGGAAGUGGAGACAGAAUCAGUAGACCAGGAACGCCUGGCAAGAGGGGAGCCUCUCAAAAAGCGCCAAUGGAAGCAGGACUACCACUAUCAGUGUUCAGUUUGUGGUCAGGCGAAAAACAAAAGCACUGGCCACACACAGAUUAAGGGAAAAUGCUACUGUCCAGCCUCUGGACAGACUGUUUUGGAAUGGAAAGAGUCUCUUGGGAAGCAGUGAUUGAAAGAUUUUCUUUUUAGUUUUCAUCUGUAAAUAUAAUCUCAUCAUUUGUGUUUUAAAGCCCAUAAUUGUUUGUAAACUUCAAAAGGCCGACUGCCAUGUUAUGAGGGCUUAUCAAUAACUGGAUUGGUCUUUAUUCCUCUUUGUUCACUUUCAGUGAAAGAACUCUAUUUAUAUUUCUGAAAUUUGCUGUCAAACUAAAUCUGUGUUAUUCUGUGUUUAGUUACAGAAAAUGACAUUAAGUUUUGUUGAUAUAUACACUAAAAUAUGUUUUGGUCUUUCUACCUAUUUUUAUAAUAUUUUUUUCUGUAAAAAAUUGUGGUUUUUUGCGAGUUUCCAGUUUUCAGAGGAUUGAAAUUUAAGCAUUU